rnacentral:piRNA from 1 species
GGCUCAAGCACGUAGCAGUGACACUUACU